rnacentral:tRNA from 1 species
GGGGGUGUGGCUCAAGUGGAGAGCACUUGCCUAGCAAGUAUGAGGCCUUAAGUUAAAAUCUCAGUACCCUCC